rnacentral:lncRNA from 1 species
CCGGCUUUCCAGGAGCCGGCGGGAGCGGGGUGCGUAAGAGGCGGGCGAGGAAGAACCGGCGGGCAACGGGAAGGGCAGAGGUGGAUCUCUCCCUCAGCGACCCCUCUCGCCGAGUGAAGGGUCGAGGGUUUGGGGCACAAAGGGCGCAGAACGUUUUUUCCUGUGAGAGGAACAUUAAGACUCCUGGGAGGGCUGGGGCUAACGCCUCCGAGAGCCCCACCUGGUCAGCCUAGGGUUAGACGUGUAGCCAGGGUGCUGGGAGGGGGCCGCUGCUGGGCCCCAGAUAGAGGGGUAGAGGCCGCUCAAUCACGGAGCCAGGCCCCACCUGCUGUAGAAACCGCCACCGAGAGCCGGCCGGGCUUGCUGCACGCUCUGGAUUCCGCCUGCCUAUAGGCGAGGCACAAGGGACUGCGAGACCAGGCCUGAAGGCAGAGAGGUCAGCAGGCUCGGGGGCCUCUGCUCCAGCGGACAACAAGCGCACCGGGCGGGAACGGCCGCCUCCCCAGGCGCUGCAGCCUAGCUCUCAUGUGACCCACGGAACUUAGCCCCUCUGUUCUGUUUGCAUACCUGCAAAUUGUGGGCAUUCACGCCGGGACUGCCAACUCACCAGGUUAUUUAUAGUGACAAGAGAGUGAGACAGUGGGCUUGAAAGUGUUUUCCAGACCAAGGCUCUGUCCCACAUAUAGGUGGAUUAACUGUCUGGCAAAGGCAGGUGAGUAACGUUGAUGCCUAUCAGCUCUCAUGUGGAUACUGUUUGGACUGGGAUGUAGUUCUUUGACCUGGGGUGAGCUGUAUAGCAACCCUGGAGGGAUGCCUAUCACACAUUACAGUAUCUGAAAGACACUCACAUUCUGACCCUCACAAUGUAGUCAGUCCAUUUCCAACAAUGCUGGUUUUAAAGGAUGUAAAUUGCAGUGCAGGGAGUUGUCAGACACCAAGGAGUAAUGAUCAAAAUAUGAUGGUCAUUGGACCUUAUCUUGGGAGAAAGAGCUAAAACUGUGUUCUAGAUAGUCUCACAGACUUGAACAUGCUUUGGAUUUUAGGUUUUUGCAAAUCAGGCUUGUUCUAAUAUUUUCUCCCACAUGCUAUGGUAGGAGCCCCAUGAUCUCUUGUUUCUCCCUAGGAAUCCAUUGAAGAGGCCAUCUCCACAUUCAGAACCAAGAAUGUGGCAGAAAGAAUGUUCUAGGACUUCCAAGCCUCGUCAUUAAGCAAAAGCAUUAAGCAAACCCCACAGCUUCUGCUUUGUACUCUGGAAAAUGCCAGCCACCCAUGAGGAGAGACCACCCUGCUAGCCACAGGGAGAGGCUAUGUGAAAAGAAAGAGAUGCCUGGCCAGCUCUAGCUCUUCAGCUCAUCCCAGCUGAGCUACCAGACACAUGAGUGGAAAAGCCCUUAGGAAGUUCCAGCUCCAGCAGACACCAUACUGAACAGAGGAGAGAUAAGCCAUCCCCACGGAGCACUGCCAAAAUGACGGCAUUGUGAACAAAUAAAUGAUCAUUGUUUUAAGGCA